UACGUAGGGGGCGAGCGUUGUCCGGAAUCAUUGGGCGUAAAGCGCGUGUAGGCGGCUCGGUAAGUCCGGUGUGAAACCUUGGGGCUCAACCCCAAGCCUGCACUGGAUACUGUCGAGCUUGAGUCCGGGAGGGGAGAGCGGAAUUCCUAGUGUAGCGGUGAAAUGCGCAGAUAUCAGGAGGAACACCGGUGGCGAAGGCGGUUCUCUGGGCAUUACCUGACGCUGAGGAGCGAAAGUGUGGGGAGCGAACAGG
rnacentral:rRNA from 1 species